UGCAGUCGAGCGGAUGAAGGGAGCUUGCUCCUGGAUUCAGCGGCGGACGGGUGAGUAAUGCCUAGGAAUCUGCCUGGUAGUGGGGGAUAACGUCCGGAAACGGGCGCUAAUACCGCAUACGUCCUGAGGGAGAAAGUGGGGGAUCUUCGGACCUCACGCUAUCAGAUGAGCCUAGGUCGGAUUAGCUAGUUGGUGGGGUAAAGGCCUACCAAGGCGACGAUCCGUAACUGGUCUGAGAGGAUGAUCAGUCACACUGGAACUGAGACACGGUCCAGACUCCUACGGGAGGCAGCAGUGGGGAAUAUUGGACAAUGGGCGAAAGCCUGAUCCAGCCAUGCCGCGUGUGUGAAGAAGGUCUUCGGAUUGUAAAGCACUUUAAGUUGGGAGGAAGGGCAGUAAGUUAAUACCUUGCUGUUUUGACGUUACCAACAGAAUAAGCACCGGCUAACUUCGUGCCAGCAGCCGCGGUAAUACGAAGGGUGCAAGCGUUAAUCGGAUUAACUGGGCGUAAAGCGCGCGUAGGUGGUUCAGCAAGUUGGAUGUGAAAUCCCCGGGCUCAACCUGGGAACUGCAUCCAAAACUACUGAGCUAGAGUACGGUAGAGGGUGGUGGAAUUUCCUGUGUAGCGGU
rnacentral:rRNA from 1 species